rnacentral:rRNA from 1 species
UGUCCUUCCGUAGGUGAACCUGCGGAAGGAUCAUUACCGAGUGUAGGGUUCCUAGCGAGCCCAACCUCCCACCCGUGUUUACUGUACCUUAGUUGCUUCGGCGGGCCCGCCAUUCAUGGCCGCCGGGGGCUCUCAGCCCCGGGCCCGCGCCCGCCGGAGACACCACGAACUCUGUCUGAUCUAGUGAAGUCUGAGUUGAUUGUAUCGCAAUCAGUUAAAACUUUCAACAAUGGAUCUCUUGGUUCCGGCAUCGAUGAAGAACGCAGCGAAAUGCGAUAACUAGUGUGAAUUGCAGAAUUCCGUGAAUCAUCGAGUCUUUGAACGCACAUUGCGCCCCCUGGUAUUCCGGGGGGCAUGCCUGUCCGAGCGUCAUUGCUGCCCAUCAAGCACGGCUUGUGUGUUGGGUCGUCGUCCCCUCUCCGGGGGGGACGGGCCCCAAAGGCAGCGGCGGCACCGCGUCCGAUCCUCGAGCGUAUGGGGCUUUGUCACCCGCUCUGUAGGCCCGGCCGGCGCUUGCCGAACGCAAAUCAAUCUUUUUCCAGGUUGACCUCGGAUCAGGUAGGGAUACCCGCUGAACUUAAGCAUAUCAAUAAGCGGAGGAAGAU